rnacentral:miRNA from 1 species
AGAAAUUCUGUGGUCUUGAUU